GACGCGUAAGGGCCUUGAGAGAGGGAGCCCUGAGAUGGACUCUGAGACAUGAGUCCAGGCCCUACGGGGCGCAGCAGUCGCGAAAACUUCACACUGGGGGAAACCCCGAUGAGGGAAUUCCAAGUGCCAGCACAUUGUGUUGGCUGUUCUUUGGUCUAAAAAACCAGAGAAGUAAGGGCCGGGUAAGACGGGUGCCAGCCGCCGCGGUAAUACCCGCGGCCCAAGUGGUGGUCGAUAUUAUUGAGCCUAAAACGUCCGUAGCCGGUCUUGUAAAUCCUUGGGUAAAUCGACCAGCUUAACUGUUCGAAGUCCGGGGAGACUGCAAGACUUGGGAUCGGGAGAGGUCAGAGGUACUUCUGGGGUAGGGGUAAAAUCCUGUAAUCCUAGAAGGACCACCGGUGGCGAAGGCGUCUGACUAGAACGAAUCCGACGGUGAGGGACGAAGCCCUGGGGCGCAAACGGGAUUAGAUACCCCGGUAGUCCAGGGUGUAAACGCUGCGGGCUUGGUGUUGGGGGUCCUUUGAGGGCGCCCAGUGCCGGAGAGAAGUUGUUAAGCCUGCUGCUUGGGGAGUACGUCCGCAAGGAUGAAACU
rnacentral:rRNA from 1 species